rnacentral:rRNA from 1 species
GAUGAACGCUAGCGGGAGGCUUAAUACAUGCAAGUCGAGGGGUAACAUUAAUGUUUACAUUAGAUGACGACCGGCGCACGGGUGAGUAACGCGUACACUACCUACCUUAUACAGGGGGAUAGCCAUUGGAAACGAUGAGUAAUACCCCAUAGUCCCGCGAGGGUAAAGCUUCGGCGGUAUAAGAUGGGUGUGCGUUCCAUUAGCUAGUUGGUAAGGUAACGGCUUACCAAGGCGACGAUGGGUAGGGGGCGUGAGAGCGUGACCCCCCACACGGGUACUGAGACACGGACCCGACUCCUACGGGAGGCAGCAGUAAGGAAUAUUGGACAAUGGAGGCAACUCUGAUCCAGCCAUCCCGCGUGAAGGAUGACGGCCCUAUGGGUUGUAAACUUCUUUUAGACAGGAAGAAUGGCAUUUAUUUAUGAAUGUUUGACGGUACUGUCAGAAUAAGCACCGGCUAACUCCG